GAUGAACGCUGGCGGCGUGCCUAAUACAUGCAAGUCGAGCGAACAGACGAGGAGCUUGCUCCUCUGACGUUAGCGGCGGACGGGUGAGUAACACGUGGAUAACCUACCUAUAAGACUGGGAUAACUUCGGGAAACCGGAGCUAAUACCGGAUAAUAUAUUGAACCGCAUGGUUCAAUAGUGAAAGACGGUUUUGCUGUCACUUAUAGAUGGAUCCGCGCCGCAUUAGCUAGUUGGUAAGGUAACGGCUUACCAAGGCAACGAUGCGUAGCCGACCUGAGCGGGUGAUCGGCCACACUGGAACUGAGAAACGGUCCAGACUCCUACGGGAGGCAGCAGUAGGGAAUCUUCCGCAAUGGGCGAAAGCCUGACGGAGCAACGCCGCGUGAGUGAUGAAGGUCUUCGGAUCGUAAAACUCUGUUAUUAGGGAAGAACAAAUGUGUAAGUAACUAUGCACGUCUUGACGGUACCUAAUCAGAAAGCCACGGCUAACUACGUG
rnacentral:rRNA from 1 species